AUGUUUCCUGAGAGAGACUGCCUUCUCUCAGGCUAGCAGUCUUAUACUUAUAGUCGACUGCUCUAUGACAAUCUGACCUCUUUCCUGGGCUCUGCUUGCUCAUCUACGCACCGACCAAUUCAGUCAAAAUCGAAAAAACGAUGUUUCCUUGAAAAAGUCUAA
rnacentral:rRNA from 1 species